GAAAGUAAUGAAGGGCGUACGGUGGAUGCCUAGGCUCUUACAGGCGAUGAAGGACGUGAUAAGCUGCGAAAAGCCGCGGUGAGGCGCAAAUGGCCCUUGACCCGCGGAUCUCCGAAUGGGACAACCCAAUAUCUUGAAGAGAUAUUAUCCCGCCGAUGCGGGAGGCGAACGCGGGGAACUGAAACAUCUUAGUACCCGCAGGAAAAGAAAAUAAAGAAUGAUUCCCCCAGUAGUGGCGAGCGACCGGGGAAGAGCCCAAACCGACGUUGUCUCGGCAUCGUCGGGGUUGUAGGACCGCGCCAUCGCAAGAAAGGCCGUGAGUGGAAGCGACUGGAAAGCCGCGCCAUAGAGGGUGACAGCCCCUUACACGAAGCAGCCUGAAGCGUAGCGGACUCCUGAGUAGCGCGGGACACGAGUAAUCCUGUGUGAAUCCGCCGGGCCCAUCCGGCAAGGCUAAAUACUCGUAAGAGACCGAUAGUGAACCAGUACCGUGAGGGAAAGGUGAAAAGUACCCCUUGCAGGGGAGUGAAAUAGUUCCUGAAACCGUACGCCUACAAGCGGUCGGAGCAUCUUGAAUGAUGUGACGGCGUGCCUUUUGCAUAAUGAACCUACGAGUUGCCGUCACCAGCGAGGUUAAGUGCGAUGACGCACCGAGCCGCAGCGGAAGCGAGUCUUAAAAGGGCGCGAUAGUUGGUGGAGGCAGACGCGAAACCGAGUGAUCUACACUUGUCCAGGAUGAAGUCCCGGUAACACGGGAUGGAGGUCCGCACCAAUAAGCGUUGAAAAGCUUCUGGAUGAGGUGAGUGUAGGAGUGAAAGGCCAAUCAAACUCGGAGAUAGCUCGUACUCCCCGAAAGGCAUUUAGGUGCCGCCUGUGGCGUUCCCGACGUGAGGUAGAGCGACUGAUUGGAUGCGAGGGCUUCACCGCCUAUCAAGUCCUGACAAACUCCGAAUGCACGUCGGCCAAGCCAUGGAGUAAGGGCAUGGGUGCUAAGGUCCGUGCCCGAGAGGAGAAGAAUCCAGACCACCGGCUAAGGUCCCGAAAUACUGGUUAAGUUAGACUAACGCAGUCCGGCCCCCAAGACAGCUAGGAUGUUGGCUUGGAAGCAGCCAUUCAUUCAAAGAGUGCGUAACAGCUCACUAGUCGAGGAGCUGGGCGUGGAUAAUAAUCGGGUAUAAAACCAGUUACCGAAGCCGUGGGAUGCUUAAGCAUCGGUAGGGGAGCAUUGCAUGCGGCUUAGAAGGCGGGGCGCGAGCCCCUCUGGAGCGCAUGGAAACGCAAAUGUAGGUAUAAGUAACGACAAGGGGGGUGGGAUGCCCCCCCGCCGAAAGACCAAGGUUUCCUGAACAACGCUAAUCGGUUCAGGGUCAGUCGGGUCCUAAGCAUAAGCCGUAUGGCGAGGGCGAUGGAUGAAACGGUUAAUAUUCCGUUACUGUCUUGGUGUGUGACGCGGCGACGGAGUAGUGACACGGCCGCCUCCUGACGGAAAAGGGGGUUGAAGCGCAAAGGUGUCGAGGAAGGCAGGCAAAUCCACCUUCCGAGCCGAAGCGCGAUAGUACGCCGCGCCCUUUUGGGCAAGGCGAUAGUGCCGGUAAUCAGACUUCCAAGAAAACCCGCUAAACUUCAGCACCAAGUCACCCGUACUCUAAACGGACACACGUGGUCGGGUAGAAUAUACUAAGGCGCUUGGGAGAUUCACGGUUAAGGAACUAGGCAAAUUGACCCCGUACCUUCGGAAUAAGGGGUCCUCGCUUUUGCGAGGCGCAGAGAAUAGGUCCAGGCAACUGUUUAACAAAAACACAGGGCUGUGCAAAUUUGAAAGAAGAAGUAUACAGCCUGACACCUGCCCGGUGCCGGAAGGUUAAGAGGAGAGCUCAUCAGCGAUGAGAAGGUUUGAAUUGAAGCCCCGGUAAACGGCGGCCGUAACUAUAACGGUCCUAAGGUAGCGAAAUUCCUUGUCGGGUAAGUUCCGACCUG
rnacentral:rRNA from 1 species